rnacentral:lncRNA from 1 species
GCCAGUACGUAGGGGCUGGAUGGGGCAGAGCGCCGCGAGGCAGUCCUGCAGGGAUGCCAUCUGCCAAACCCUUUCCUGGAACUCCUCUCUUUUCAUUCUGUGGGCCUGCAAGAGAGGCCGGGCAGGGGCGCUGUUAGGAAGCUGAGGCGGCAAGAGUUAGAGUGACCUGCUCAAGGUCACACAGCGAAGAUAGGGCAGAGGUGAGGCUCCAACCUAGGUCUUCCAACGCCCCAUUCUCUGGUCCCUAAAGAGACAAAUGUUACAGAUACUUUGCUUUAAGAUGUACUGAAACCCAUCCACUCAUCUGCUCACUCAUUCCGCAGGUGUUUCUCAGGGACCUACACUGUGUUUGGGCACUGUGCUAAGUACUGGGGAGGGUUUCAAUGUUAUCAAAGCAAACAACAAUGCCUGCCCUCCUAGAGUUUAUAUUCUAAUGCAGGAGAAGGAGAAACAACAUAAGUAAGUUAAUUACAAAGUGCCAGAAGGCAAUACAUCUGUGGAAUGCAACAGAGCAGGGUCAGGACAUGGGGAGGGCCAGGCGGAGGCGGUUUAAAGUCGAAUGUUCAGGGCAGGUCUGGUGAGAAGAUGAACAUCAGGCUGGGUGCAGCAGCACAUGCCUGUAAUUCCAGCACAUUCCACCCUCCUUGCCUUGGGAGGCCAAGGGGGGUGGAUCACGCGGUCAGGAGUUUGAGACCAGCCUGUCCAACAUGGUGAAACCCCAUCUCUACUAAAAAUACAAACAUUAGCCAGGCGUGGUGGCAUGCGCCUGUAAUCUCAGCUACUAGGGAGGCUGAGGCAGGA